rnacentral:rRNA from 1 species
AAACUCAAAUGAAUUGACGGGGCCCGCACAAGCGGUGGAGCAUGUGGUUUAAUUCGACGAUACGCGAAGAACCUUACCCGGGUUUGACAUUGUAUCGAAGCAUCCAGAGAUGGAUGUGUCUCUUCGGAGACGGUAUGACAGGUGCUGCAUGGCUGUCGUCAGCUCGUGCCGUGAGGUGUUGGGUUAAGUCCCGCAACGAGCGCAACCCUUGUGUUUAGUUGCAAACAGGUCAAGCUGUGCACUCUAGACAGACUGCCGUGGACAACACGGAGGAAGGUGGGGAUGACGUCAAAUCAUCAUGCCCCUUAUGAUCUGGGCUACACACGUGCUACAAUGGCCGGUACAACGGGCAGCGAAGGAGCGAUCCGGAGCGAAUCCUAAAAAGCCGGUCCCAGUUCGGAUUGCAGGCUGAAACUCGCCUACAUGAAGUUGGAGUUGCUAGUAAUCGCGAAUCAGAAUGUCGCGGUGAAUGCGUUCCCGGGUCUU